UGGGGAAUUUUGGACAAUGGGCGCAAGCCUGAUCCAGCCAUGCCGCGUGCGGGAAGAAGGCCUUCGGGUUGUAAACCGCUUUUGUCAGGGAAGAAAUCUUCUGAGUUAAUACCUCGGGAGGAUGACGGUACCUGAAGAAUAAGCACCGGCUAACUACGUGCCAGCAGCCGCGGUAAUACGUAGGGUGCAAGCGUUAAUCGGAAUACUGGGCGUAAAGCGUGCGCAGGCGGUUUUGUAAGACAGAGGUGAAAUCCCCGGGCUCAACCUGGGAACUGCCUUUGUGACUGCAAAGCUUGAGUGCGGCAGAGGGGGAUGGAAUUCCGCGUGUAGCAGUGAAAUGCGUAGAUAUGCGGAGGAACACCGAUGGCGAAGGCAAUCCCCUGGGCCUGCACUGACGCUCAUGCACGAAAGCGUGGGGAGCAAAACAGGAUUAGAUACCCUGGUAGUCCACGCCCUAAACGAUGUCAACUGGUUGUUGGGGAAGGUUCCUUCUCAGUAACGUAGCUAACGCGUGAAGUUGACCGCCUGGGGAGUACGGCCGCAAGGUUGAAACUCAAAUGAAUUGACGGGG
rnacentral:rRNA from 1 species